CGGAGCGUGGCGCAGUCUGGUAGCGCACUACACUGGGGGCGUAGGGGUCGUGGGUUCAAAUCCCGCCGCUCCGACCA
rnacentral:tRNA from 1 species